rnacentral:rRNA from 1 species
UACGUAGGGUCCGAGCGUUGUCCGGAAUUAUUGGGCGUAAAGGGCUCGUAGGCGGUUCGUCACGUCGGGAGUGAAAACUCGGAGCUUAACUCCGAGCCUGCUUCCGAUACGGGCAGACUAGAGGUAGGCAGGGGAGAGCGGAACUCCUGGUGUAGCGGUGGAAUGCGUAGAGAUCCGGAGGAACACCAGCGGCGAAGGCGGCAUCCUGGACUGGUCCUGACACUCAGGAGCGAAAGCGUGGGGAGCGAUCCGG